rnacentral:lncRNA from 1 species
GAGCCCCCAGAAGCCCAGAGCAGUCAGGUCACACGACGGGCAGGAAGGAGUACCAGCAAAUACUUUUUAUUGAGCAUACAGGUAUUACGCUGGGUCUUUACAUAUCUCCUCCAAAUAAGUGAGUCCAAAUGGCAGGUAACUCGAAAGGUGAGAAAUUCAAGUCAGCUUUGAAAGACACAUUGCAUUUAAAGGAAAAACGGUAUUCGCAGAUGAUAAUACAGGAUGGAGUGGAUCAGAAAACACACUGAGGCUACUGAUCAUUCCCAUUUGCCAACUCACUGCAGUUGGCAAGAAAACUCUGUGACUCCAUGAGAUGGGAAAUUACACCAGCAGUCAAGGUAGCAAGAUUUGGAACUUGAAGAUGAAUUUUUCUUCCUCAUCAAAGGAAUAUCUAAUACUGCCUUCAAAUGAAUAAAAUUGAGUUUAUUCUA